UGGUGGGGUAAGAUCCUACCAAGGCGACGACGGUUAGCCGGCGUGAGAGCGUGGCCGGCCACAAGGACACUGAGAUACGGGUCCUACUCCUACGGGAGGCAGCAGUGCGGAAUUUUAGAUAAUGGAGGCAACUCUGAUCUAGCGACGCCGCGUGCAGGAAGAAGGUCUUCGGAUUGUAAACUGCUGUGGUAAGGGAAAAAUGUCAUGUAGAGUGGAAAGCUACAUGGAGGGAUGGUACCUUACUAGAAAGCCCCGGCUAACUACGUGCCAGCAGCCGCGGUAAUACGUAGGGGGCGAGCGUUACCCGGAAUCACUGGGCGUAAAGGGAGCGUAGGUGGCCUGACAUGUCAACUGUGAAAACCCGGAGCUCAACUCCGGACUUGCAGUUGAAACUGCCAGGCUUGAGGACGGUAGAGGAAGACGGAACUGCCAGUGUAGGGGUAAAAUCCUUAGAUAUUGGCAGGAACGCCGGUGACGAAGGUGGUUUUCUGGGCCGGUUCUGACACUGAUGCUCGAAAGCCAGGGGAGCGAACGGGAUUAGAU
rnacentral:rRNA from 1 species